CAUAGAAAGGCACCGUGGGGAGGAUUUUGAAAAUAUAUUCAGUCCAGCUCCCUGUGGUGCAGUUAAAGGAACUAAGGCUCAGAGAAAGGAUGUGGCUCCCCCAGUCACCUUGAAUUCAGAUCCAAAACUUUCCCCUCCGUCCAGUCCCCCAGGCCUUUGGGACCCCCAGCUGGACGCCGGCCCCACUGUGGUCAGUGGUCAGUGGUCAGGAUAGUGUAGGGCUUCCCUACCUGCCCCUACGAAGCAGCACUUCAUCAACACACGCGGUGCCAGGCCUGGCCAGCCGAGCAGGUCCUGAGCCCAGAAACAAAGAUGCGGGGUGGGGGGGGCUCGGCUGCCUCUCGGUGCCCUGGCUGCGCUCAGAAUCAACCCUGGAGUGUCACACUGCUCACUGUGGGAAGACGCUGGACAAGAAGAUGCUCUGCGUCUGGACAGACGGGUCAUCUCCACCCCAGCCUUCCUAGCACCCUGCGAGUGUUUCCAGGCCUCCAUUCAGGCACUGGGAUCCUCACUGAGCACUUCCUGUGUGCAGCCACUCUUCUGAGGACACGGAAACUACUCAUGGAACUUACAGUUCUAGCAGAGGAGACCGACAAGUGACUUUCAUCUCAUUUCAGGCUAUGUUAAGAGAUAUAAAAAAUAAAGCACAGAAGUCUACCUUGGCAUA
rnacentral:lncRNA from 1 species